rnacentral:tRNA from 1 species
AUCCUUGAUUGGCCUGGUUUGUAAGGCGUAACUUCUCCAAGGGGUUGAGUUAAUCGAAUGGGUAUUGGGGUGUUUGUUUUAACUCAAGCAAAAGGAUA